CUCCUCUGUAAAGUGCAGUUAAUAAUAAUAGCUCUCUCAAAGGACUGUAGUGUAUCUACAGGUAAAAUGGGGUUGACUGAGCAGUGAAUGGGAAAUUACAGCCCAUUGUGGUAAGUGGGUGGAGAGGAAAGGCCAGGGAGCUCUGGAAGCAUAGCGCAGGGACUCCAAAUUCCAACAUAUGGUGGAAGCUCUGGGAAGGCUCCCUGGGAGCAGGGAUGGCUGGGAUGAAACAGGGAAGAAGAGAUCCCAAAGAUUGGAAGAAUCUGGCAGAGGGAAAGUAGAACAUGGACUCCAAAUGCAACCAGACCUGGCUUUGUGUCCCAUCUUUGACACUGAUUUACUGUGUGACCUUGGGUCUGUUACAUUUCCCAGAAUGGUUCCCAGCGCUGGAGAUAAUUCCUUUUCGGAGAACCUACAUUUCUCACCUGCUGAUUGCAAUUAGCCACUGCCAGCUGGGGCCUGGCGUGCAGCUGAAAAGCUAACAAGAAGUGGAGACCACGCGGAACCCAGACAGAGCAGAGGACGUGAAUAAAUAAGGAAUGGUGCCCGUGUUUAUGAGAUGCUCGUGUGAAGUCAAGGUUUCCUGACCCUCUGAUGGCCCUCCCUCUUCCAGCCCUGCACUCUCCACCCCUCCCCUAUUUAUUUUAUUUUAUUUUAUUUUUUGGUCUCUGGGUUUGUAGCCUACACUUAACAUCACAGUCACGAAUUUGUCACUAAGUACAUUUUGUUAGGCAAUAAACAGCCUUGGAAGA